GUGGGUAUAGCUCAGUGGAAGAGUGCAUGCUUAGCAUGCAUGAGGUUCUGGGUUCAAUCCCCAGUGCCUCCA
rnacentral:tRNA from 1 species